rnacentral:lncRNA from 1 species
AAUUGUAGUUUAUCCUCUUGUGUUUUGUUAGUUUAAUCUUGAUUUAACUAUUGCAUUGUCAAAACUAAUAUUUAACUAAAUUAUCUUAAAAGGAUUGGCCCUGUAGUAAAAUUGAGAACCGACACUAUUAAUCCUGUACCACCAGGAUAGGUUCCAAAUUUCAAUAUUAAAAUUGAUUUGUGAGGACCAUGCUAUCCCUAGUUUUGGC